rnacentral:tRNA from 29 species
GGGCCUAUAGCUCAGCGGUAGAGCAGCCGGCUCAUAACCGGCUGGUCCCUGGUUCGAUCCCAGGUGGGCCCACCA